rnacentral:rRNA from 1 species
UUAAGCUACUAAGGGUGCACGGGGGAUGCCUUGGCGUCAAGUGCCGAAGAAGGACGUGUAGCGCUGCGAAAAGCUGUGGGGAACUGCGCUAGAGUGACGAUCCACAGAUAUCCGAAUGGGGAAACCCGGCCAGGGGAAUGCCUGGUCAACGCAUGGUGAACACAUAGCCAUGACGUGGGGAACUCGGGGAACUGAAACAUCUAAGUACCCGGAGGAGAAGAAAGGAUUCCGUGAGUAGUGGCGAGCGAAAGCGGAGGAGCCCAAACCAGUGUGGCUUUGGCUGCACUGGGGUUGUAGGACAGACAGAAGGGUGAAGCGGAUAGUGGAACGGUAUUGGGAAAGCCGACCGGAGAGGGUGAAAGUCCCGUACACGAAAUUUGCGUAACCUGGUCUGAAUCCUGAGUAGUGCGGAGCACGCUAACUCUGCAUGAAACUGGGGGGCCCACCCUCCAAGGCUAAAUACACUUGACGACCGAUAGUGAACAAGUACCGUGAGGGAAAGGUGAAAAGCACCCCAGCGAGGGGAGUGAAAUAGAACCUGAAACCGUGCACUUACAAGCAGUCAGAGCCUGAUGCCGCAAGGCCGGGUGAUGGCGUGCCUCUUGGAGAAUGAGCCGACGAGUUACUUUCAGUAGCAAGGUUAAGGCAGAGACAGCCGGAGCCGAAGCGAAAGCGAGUCUGAAUAGGGCGUGCAGUUGCUGGGAGUAGACCCGAAACCGGGUGAGCUAUCCAUGGCCAGGGUGAAGUGGGGGUAAUGCCCCAUGGAGGCCCGAACUGGUGUACAUUGCAAAGUGCUCGGAUGAGCUGUGGAUAGGGGUGAAAUGCCAAACGAACUCGGAGAUAGCUGGUUCUCGCCGAAAUAACUUUAGGGUUAGCGUCGCAUCGAUGAAUUGCGGGGGUAAAGCACUGAAUGAGGUAGGGGGCUAAAGGCCUACCGAACUCAAUCAAACUCUGAAUACCGUAAUUUUAGGGCGGCAGUCGGACUACGGGAGAUGAGUUUCGUGGUCGAGAGGAAAAGAAUCCAGACCGUCAGCUAAGGUCCCGGAGUGAUAGCUAAGUGGGAAAGGAUGUGGGAUUACGGAGACAGCCAGGAGGUUGGCUUAGAAGCAGCCAUCCUUGAAAGAGUGCGUAAUAGCUCACUGGUCAAGUGAUCCUGCGCCGAAAAUAUAACGGGGCUCAAGCUAUCCACCGAAGCUACGGGUUUUGUGUAAGCUGAGGCUUACAUGGAGCAGUAGGCGAGCGUUCUGCCACAGGGAAGCCAUACCGGAAGGAGUGGUGGAGUGAGCAGAAGUGAGAAUGUUGGCACGAGUAGCGAAAACUGUGUGAGAAUCACAGUCCCCGUAAGUCUAAGGUUUCCGACGGAAGGUCAAUCCGCGUCGGGUUAGUCGGUCCUAAGGCGAGGCCGAAAGGCGUAGUCGAUGGAGAACUGGUUAAUAUUCCAGUACUGCGUCAGGUUGAUUGAGCGAAGGGGUGACAUGGAAGGGUAGGUUGGCCGGCGGUUGGACGUGCCGGUGCCAAGCCUGUAGGUGAUGAGAGCGGGGAUAAAAGACCGCUUGAGCUGAGGGGUGACGGCGAGCCUGUUACAGGGCGGAAGCAAUUAAGCCCAAGCCAUCGAGAAAAGCCUCUAGUGAGACCUGCGUGACCGUACCGCAAACCGACACAGGUAGACGGGUAGAGAAUACCAAGGGGAACGGGAGAACCUCUGUUAAGGAAUUAGGCAAAAUAGCCCCGUAACUUCGGGAGAAGGGGCGCCCUGGUAGCGUGGAGGCAACAAGCAUGCCGAAGCGUGAGAGGGCCGCAGAGAAAUGGCUCUAGCGACUGUUUACCAAAAACACAGGUCUGUGCGAAGUUGCAAGACGAAGUAUACAGGCUGACGCCUGCCCAGUGCCGGAAGGUUAAGGGGAGAGGUGAGAGCUUCGAACUGAAGCCCCGGUGAACGGCGGCCGUAACUAUAACGGUCCUAAGGUAGCGAAAUUCCUUGUCGGGUAAGUUCCGACCC